ACUCAAGUUUCUGUAUUCCUGCCCAUUUCUCUGAUAGAACAGCAUCUUGGCCAAUUUAGUAGGGAGCGGGGAAACUGAGUCAUGACCUGUGACCACUGUUCUUUCCUGGAGUUGCCUUAUUAGCAUUGGAUGUCAUAUUUGCACUAUACAU